ensembl:antisense Sap30bpos SAP30 binding protein, opposite strand
GCCCUCAGCAGUGAGAUGCCGAAAAGAACAGAGGCUUGGCAUAAAUAAGCCAGCUUGCUGGGGUCAGUGGAAGAAGCCUUGCUGCCCCCAGGAAGCGGCUCCUACUCAAUGAAUACAGAGGCUCGGCCAUAGACGGAGCCGACAGGCAGAGGAAGGAAGAGCUGGAGAGACUGCCGUGUGAGCCGAGAGGAUCUAUGCACUGGGUAGCAGCAGGUUCUGGCUGACUGAAUGGCAGUGUAUAUACAGCCAGCCUCCAUCAGCCCUUCGGGGAACCCUGAGUAACGGCAUAUGUAGCCUCAGGCACGUGGAUUCUGCCAGUCCACAUGUCAUGUUUUCUUCCCAGCACUGGGAGCGUUAAGUACAGAGAAGGCAUUCUGAACAGGGCACAGGGCAGCAUGCAAGGGGCAGGGUAAUUAGCAAAGCUGACCACUCCCGGCUGGACACCCGAACCUGGCAGCAGGGAGGACUGGAGAAGUAGCCCCAAGCAAGCCCCUGAAGUCAUAAAGUCCUAAGGCCAUUUUAUUUAAUGAGCAGACUUGACUAAAAUAAUGGAAAGCUCACACCUGUAAUCCCAGCACUGAAGACGCAGAGACAGUUGGGUUGCUGAGUUCAAGGCUUGUCUAGGUUGACCAAAGCAAAGCAAAGCAAAGCACAGCAAACAAUCCAUUAUCUCCCUCCCGAAUGAAUCGUCACAGCAGCCCAGCCCCUACUGAAGGCUCCCGUCCCCCGUCCACAGGCCUGCUCUCUGCUACCCCGAACCUAGAAAGCACACCGUACGCAAAGCUCAGACCUCGGCCUGAGAAAUGUCCUUGCACUUUUACCUUCCUGACAGGGGAGGAUCUUCCACACCACCGUGUGUGCUCUCAACAUUCGUGGCCACCACAGGUGCUGCACACAGCCGUCGCCUGCCACUGUUCUUCAGUGUUUACUGGCUACCUUCAGCUGCUAUGUAAUAGAGAACCCAGGUGCCAAACGUGUUUAGCAAUAGCUAGUUCCGAUGUCUGGGCUCCCUGAGAAAGAGGCAGAAGGUAGCUAGAAAGGGGUCUAAGAAAGAACGGCUGAUUGAUGUGAGACUGGGAGAAGGCAGGGAGGGGCACUAAAGGUCACUUCUUGCUCUACAGCUUUUCUGCCUGUCUAAGACAGGGUCUUGCCUUUUUAGCCCAGAACUUCUGAACUUAUGGACCUUCCCGCCUCAGUCUCUGGAGUGCUAGAAAUCUAGGCCUGUACCACCGUAUCAUGUCCUGCAGCUUCUCUCAGGAUUCAACCUAAUGCUUUUAAAUCCUGAGACAAAGCCGGGGGUGGGGAGCAGGACGAGGUGAAGCUGGGUGUGCUGGCACUUGCCAGAAGUCCUACCUACACUAAUAGGCUAGUCACUUUAGCGCAGGAGUAAGGCCAGUCUGGGUAACUAGCAAAACCCUGCCUCAAGGCAAAGCUACACAGAUAAAGAACAAAGUCGUAAGUAGCAAAAGACAGUUACUGGACAGCUAGCUCACUUACUUAUUCCAUAAAUAAUUCACUGAAGAUUUACUAUGUCACAGACAACAGGCCAAGCAGCCAGGCUAAAAUUAAAAAAAAAAAAAAUUGAUAGUGAGGAACCAUUUUAGGUUUUAUGGUAAGCCCUUCAACUAAUGAUCUCAUUUAGUUCUCACAAUAGCCCAGCAAAGUGUUCUGAACCACCAGGCCACACUGCUGCUUCACUGUGGUGUCACCCCGGGAGCCCUCCUGAAAGCCUGAGAACAGCCACCAAACAGGGCUAUGUGUGGCGGCACACAACACACCUGUAUUCACUGCACUUGGGAGGCAGAAGCAAGAGGAUCAGAAGUUCAAAGCCAACCUGAGCUGCAGGAGGUCUUGUCUCAAUCCUCUCCCCACCCACCCGCAAAGGCUCCCUGAGAGGCAUGUAUGGGACCUGUGGAGGGCAGCUCUGUGACUUAGUGACACCACAAAAGUCAGCACUGUGUGAACAUUACCACCGUGAUCUGUAGCCGGCUCCCACGCAGGAGCACUCUGGAGAAAUACCAUGAGCAGUACAUUUCCUUCAGUUGUGUCCUGUGGGCCAGGCCGGGGCCCUUGCUCAGGCACACGGCCCAGCCAGGGAUGGAAACACUGCACUUAGCUGGAAAAUGGGCGGAAGUUGGUGGGGCCACAAUGGACGUACUGCAGUUGCCUUGACUCCAGAAGCUCAGACAGGAAGGCUCGGCUCACCAACCAGAGCCAGAGGUGACUCCUACAGGAAGGGUUAAAUAGGAGUCUGCCAAUAGAAAAGGCAGGGAAGGGGAAGGAAAUGGCUUCUUUCUCUCCUGAAAACCUGAUUAAAACAAAGCUGAAUGGC